rnacentral:rRNA from 1 species
UAGGGAAUCUUCGGCAAUGGACGAAAGUCUGACCGAGCAACGCCGCGUGAGUGAAGAAGGUUUUCGGAUCGUAAAACUCUGUUGUUAGAGAAGAACAAGGACGUUAGUAACUGAACGUCCCCUGACGGUAUCUAACCAGAAAGCCACGGCUAACUACGUGCCAGCAGCCGCGGUAAUACGUAGGUGGCAAGCGUUGUCCGGAUUUACUGGGCGUAAGGCGAGCGCAGGCGGUUUCUUAAGUCUGAUGUGAAAGCCCCCGGCUCAACCGGGGAGGGUCAUUGGAAACUGGGAGACGUGAGUGCAGAAGAGGAGAGUGGAAUUCCAUGUGUAGCGGUGAAAUGCGUAGAUAUAUGGAGGAACACCAGUGGCGAAGGCGGCUCUCUGGUCUGUAACUGACGCUGAGGCUCGAAAGCGUGGGGAGCAAACAGG